UCGGUCCUGCACACAAAAGAAAAAACUCUCUCCUCUAUGUAUUUAUUAAGAUUUCAAAGCUCAAGGCUACAUCCUUCCCACUUCAGGAUUUAACUGACUUCUGGCAGCCUUGCACCUCUUGUCUCCUCGAAGCACAUGAUGUGUCAGCAAAGUGAGUAUGGUUUUUUUUUUCAUCUCACUGAGGAAGGAUGCAAUGGGGGAGGAAAAAGGGUAGAAAAGCCUUUCUCCCCCCCUUCCCCAGUGCAGCCUGCUGGGAGAUGUAGUCACACCGCAACUGCCAUGGAACAAAGGAGCGCAGGGGCUGCAGGAAGGGGCCACAGCAGCGAGACCCUCCCUGGGUAACCUGCACAGGGCAACUUCCAAGGGCAUCAUGGCAAGGGUGAGGCUGGGGGGAAAGAGGAUCCCACAGGAGAGCUCGCUCCUGAAAAUCCCCUUGGCUUCAUUGCUCUUGGGCAUUGGCCAACUUUGUGGAAAAGCCUUGUCCGCAUGUGCUGUGAGAUGAGCUGGGACAGGGAGAGGUCAUGUCACCCCUCUCUGUGCACCAGGGCUCGGGCAGUGGGAAUUGUGGCUCCUGAGCCUUGGGUUGCCACGCUGGAAAACUUCUGCCCUGCUUCGUGUUUGUAUUGGAGGUCGUGAAACGGGAGUGGGAAAAAUCAUUCCUUGGAUUUGAUACUGUUCAACGUCACAACUCGUGAGGACAACACAACAUUCUUCUCAACAUCUAACACAUUCAUUUUAAUAUUUCUAAAUGAAAAAUUAAGGGGUGUUCUUUCUCCAGUGGUGUUGGCAUUUUUAACCCACACCCUGAUGCACAAUUGCCCCCUGCACCUCUACUGCCACUCCUUAGCUCCUUAUUUCUGUAUUUGUAUUCUAACUAGGGGGAAAGAAAAAGUGAAAUUGUUUCUUCCUUUCAGCCUCCUGGGCAAGCAACUGUGGGAAUAGAAAGUGCAAAUUCUUGGAAAUCUUCCGGGGGUUGUUUGUUUGUUUGUGGGUUUGGGUUUUUUUUGUUGAUGUUGUUGGGUUUUAGUUUUUUGGGUUUUUUUUUCUUUUUUAACUAAAUCAGGUGCUCAGCCUUCUCUAAAUUUAGUGCUUCUAAAAGUAGAGAUGAAGUGGCUCUCGACCACACAAAGGCUUUUGCCAAUGUUUGCCAGUUUUCCUGGUGAUUCUUUCCAAACUAUGGCAGCACAAGGCAAUAGCCUGGAUCUCUUUCUUUCGCUCUCUCCUUUUCCUGGGUAAUUACUUUAAGUUCCAACUCUCCCCUCCCGCACCGUUAACCUUGGAUCCAUAGCUCCCGGUGACGAUUCUCCAGCACACCAGCUGUUACUUCUCAUUUCAUGGCUCACUGGUGAAACUCCUGAGCUCUUUUUCUCUUUACAUGUCCAACCUGUUUCUUCCCCGCAUGCUUCUGACUUUCCUCAAGACCUCCUCUUUAAUCACUUUAAAGCCGCUGGGCGUGCGUAUUUCAGCGGGGUGAGAGUAGGAGGUAGAGGAGGAGGAGGAAGGACAGCCAGCGUGUCCAGCCAGAGGGGGAUGCCAGGGAAGCGGCCGGAGGAAGGGGAGGGAUGCUCCAGCUUCUCUCCUUGCCGUGCUGCGUGAUGGGGGAGCAGGACGGGGCUUCGUCCUACACCCGAGGCCAGCAAAUUGCUCCCAAGAUCAGCCCCCUUUACGCACCGGCACCUCAGCCCUGGGCUCGCACAGGAGUCAUGCGGCUCAAAGAAAGCGGAGAAAAGCAAACUCCACCUCCUCGCAGCUCCGCAGCAAUCUCGUACACCACUCGCCUCUCCAUCUCCGCGUCUCCGCCGGGGCCAGCACACCCUGCCCGGCCACGAACGUCCAGGAACGCGGGACAGCCACUGCGGGGUUUGAGGGCGCUUUUGUAGCCGAAGCAGCAACCGGCAGAGCCUACGUGAAAGGACUGAUCAGCAGGCACCCCUCGUCACGGUACCAGGCGGGGGAAGGGAGCCACAUCCGGCUGAUUUAAUGACUGCCUGGGCAAAACCGGCUUUGCCUGGGGAAAGAAUCUGUUCGGGGGGCAGGGAGAAAGGGGAAGGGUUAAGGAAGGAGCAUCUGCCGAGCUGAAAGGCAGCCUUGGAAAGGCGGCUGUGCCCUGUGCUCCCUCAAUGGAGCCGAACGAGCACCGCCCGCAGCUCAGCCCCGCGGGCUCUGCAGCCCACAGCCCCGGGGGCUCCGUGCGGGCUCCCACCGACUCUGUCCCCCAGAGCCCCACUCAGAGCUCCCCAGAGCAUCCAGCAGCCUGCCCUGGCUGUGUGGGACCAACAUCUGCCCCCGUUCCAGCUCUGCCCGGUUUUUACGGGAAUUAAGGGGAAGGGCUCCUCUCCCUGCACAACAGAAGAAAGCCUUGGGUGACACACUGACCAAAACCUCCACACUCUGUCUCACUGCUCUGUCUGUGGAAAGAAGGAAGGAGCUGGGAGAAGAAAAGGUGUUUUUAGGGGCUUAUUUUAUUUCUCAUUAUCGUCCUCUAAUUUUGUUAGUAAUAAAUUCACUUAAUAUCUCAAGUUGA